CAGUAGCCACGGGAAUACGAGGGGGGCAAGCGUUGUUCGGAAUUACUGGGCGUAAAGCGCACGUAGGCGGCUUGGUAAGUUAGAGGUGAAAGCCCAGGGCUCAACCCUGGAAUUGCCUUUAAGACUGCCGAGCUAGUAGGUGAAGAGGAGAGUGGAAUUCCACGUGUAGCGGUGAAAUGCGUAGAUAUCGGAAGGAACACCUGUGGCGAAAGCGGCUCACUGGACCAUUUCUGACGCUGAUGCACGAAAGCUAGGGGAGCAAACAGGAUUAGAUACCCCUGUAGUCCCUGUCUCUUAUACC
rnacentral:rRNA from 1 species